GUAACAGCAGGCAGUGGUGAGAAAUUCCCUACCUCAUCAUCAGUCUAUACAUCCUGUUUCCAACUGCCAGCUCUGGGAAGAGUGGAGGCUGUCAGCACCCACCAAGGGAUCUCACGACUUUUUAAAGGGAACACUGGACACUUCAAAUUGCUGAAGCACAGGAGCAUGGGAAGUAUGCUGCAGCUGGUCUGGGCUGUGGAGGCUGUCUGUGAUACUUGUGCAGGGAAUGACUUCAAAACAAGAAUUAAAGCACAGCUGGGGAGGAGCUGACACACUCAGAAGGGAAAAGUUACCCUCGUACAUCUGAGAUAGGAGUCAGAGCAGCCCAAGGAGACACUCAUGCUUUGCUUUCCUUGCCUAGGCAAAGUGCAGCCUCUUUUCUACAAACUCAAUCCAGAUUUUUAGACAUCAGAAGAAUCACUCUGGUAUUGGAGCCUGAUCAAGCACAAAAAACAUCCUCAGCCUUCAGAAAAAUACCAGAUGGCUGCAGAUGCCAGCUCCUUCGGCCAGGCAGUGUUUUGAGAGAAAAGGCCAGCUUGUUGUGGUGUGCUGCAUCCCAGAUACAACUCUGCAGAGCAGCAAAGAGCCACAGAGAAAUCCCUGGAGGAGGAGGAGCAUCCAAGCCAACGUAUUCCCGUAACAUCAGAUUUUCAAGGCUGUUACAUAUGCUCCCAUCCAAAUAUGCUCUCUUCCUCUGGAGGGAAGAGGGACCUACAGAAGUGACUCUGGCUGGAAAUGCUCUUAUGAGUUUCUGAGCAGUCGUGUGCACUUGAAGCUCCAGUCAGAGUUGCCAAAUCAUUGGAAACAAGUUACAAAAACAUGUCUGGCAAUGUGAGAGGGAAUAAUUUGGUCUCCACAUAGUGAACUGGUCUUUGGAAUAUCAACUAUGAGACUUUAAGCUGGUUGGUUCUCAAUCACCUACUCUUUGAGGAGGUCAUCAUGGUGUUGCUGCUGCACAGGAUAAUAUUCUCUUUGUUCUACAGAAGUGAGAGCAAAGAAUAGACACUUCUCUCAUAGAUAGCACAGUGAAAGGAUUUAUGCACCAUUUAAGACUUAAAACUUUAUGUGGUGACUCCACUUCCAAAGACCACUAACUACAAGAAAAACAGCCCAGCAGCCAAUAACCAGCUGGGGUUACUUGGUUCUCCAACAGCUCUUGUGUCCCACCAACACCUGAACAGGUAACAUGGUGUCAACCUGUGGUUUCUUGAUGAUCAAGGAAGGAUUCACAGGGUUCACAGUGACUCCAUGACUUCGGCACCACUUUAGCACCACUUUAGUGCCACGAAGCAGUGGGAGUGCCUGAGCCAGCCAGAGUAAUGUGAUACACACACCAAAGCCUGGUCAGCCACAUGGCCUUGUAAAAACCUGAGGUGCAAUUAGUUUCUAUUGAAAAAAAAAAAAAAAGAAGUAUUUUCUUUUGUUUCAGGAGUCCUGAAAUGGCUGUGAUACAAUUAAAACCAACCAAAAAAGGAACGUCAAUGAGGGUGAGAUGUUCAUUUCUGGGGAGCGUGGGCUGGUAAUGUCCGUCUGGAAGGACCUCAGAGAGAGUGGUCACUUUUGAUUACUGCAUAAUGGGCUUUGCCUGCUCGUGGCCUGUAGUGAUCUGGACACCUGCGAGUCAGUCUCUGGAGAGAUGGAAUGUGCCUUGUCUCCACUACCCUUAAUAACUGCUGUACCUGACACGUGCUAAUACAUGUCAAAACUCAGUUACAAUCUAUUUAAACCUUCAAAGAGUUUUACAUGCAGAAAUAUUCUGACCUGGAGGAAAUCUUAAAUUAUUGUGGCAUAAAGCUUUUGUAGAGGAACAGAGAAGGUAUCUGCUUUUCUGGAA